GUCCACGCCGUAAACGAUGGGUGCUAGGUGUCGCGGGUAUUGACCCCUGCGGUGCCGUAGCUAACGCGUUAAGCACCCCGCCUGGGGAGUACGGCCGCAAGGCUAAAACUCAAAGGAAUUGACGGGGGCCCGCACAAGCGGUGGAGCAUGUGGUUUAAUUCGACGCAACGCGCAGAACCUUACCCGGGCUAGAAACUACGAGAACUUGGUGGAAACACCGGGGUGCCCGCAAGGGAACUCGUGUCCAGGUGCUGCAUGGCUGUCGU
rnacentral:rRNA from 1 species